GAUGAACGCUGGCGGCGUGCCUAAUACAUGCAAGUCGAGCGAACGGACGAGAAGCUUGCUUCUCUGAUGUUAGCGGCGGACGGGUGAGUAACACGUGGAUAACCUACCUAUAAGACUGGGAUAACUUCGGGAAACCGGAGCUAAUACCGGAUAAUAUUUUGAACCGCAUGGUUCCAAAGUGAAAGACGGUCUUGCUGUCACUUAUAGAUGGAUCCGCGCUGCAUUAGCUAGUUGGUAAGGUAACGGCUUACCAAGGCAACGAUGCAUAGCCGACCUGAGAGGGUGAUCAGCCACACUGGAACUGAGACACGGUCCAGACUCCUACGGGAGGCAGCAGUAGGGAAUCUUCCGCAAUGGGCGAAAGCCUGACGGAGCAACGCCGCGUGAGUGAUGAAGGUCUUCGGAUCGUAAAACCCUGUUAUUAGGGAAGAACAUAUGUGUAAGUAACUGUGCACAUCUUGACGGUACCUAAUCAGAAAGCCACGGCUAACUACGUG
rnacentral:rRNA from 1 species